rnacentral:rRNA from 2 species
UGGAAACGGUGGCUAAUACCGCAUAACGUCGCAAGACCAAAGAGGGGGACCUUCGGGCCUCUUGCCAUCAGAUGUGCCCAGAUGGGAUUAGCUUGUUGGUGAGGUAACGGCUCACCAAGGCGACGAUCCCUAGCUGGUCUGAGAGGAUGACCAGCCACACUGGAACUGAGACACGGUCCAGACUCCUACGGGAGGCAGCAGUGGGGAAUAUUGCACAAUGGGCGCAAGCCUGAUGCAGCCAUGCCGCGUGUAUGAAGAAGGCCUUCGGGUUGUAAAGUACUU